rnacentral:rRNA from 1 species
AUUGAACGCUGGCGGCAGGCCUAACACAUGCAAGUCGAGCGGGAACUUCGGUGCUAGCGGCGGACGGGUGAGUAAUGCGUAGGAAGCUACCCGACAGAGGGGGAUACCAGUUGGAAACGACUGUUAAUACCGCAUAAUGUCUACGGACCAAAGUGUGGGACCUUCGGGCCACAUGCUGUCGGAUGCGCCUACGUGGGAUUAGCUAGUUGGUGAGGUAAUGGCUAACCAAGGCGACGAUCCCUAGCUGGUUUGAGAGGAUGAUCAGCCACACUGGAACUGAGACACGGUCCAAGCUCCUACGGGAGGCCGCAGUGGGGAAUAUUGGACAAUGGGCGCAAGCCUGAUCCAGCCAUGCCGCGGGUGGGAAGAAGGCCUUCGGGUUGUAAAGCACUUUCAGUAGGGAUGAAUGAUGUUGUGUUAAUAGCACAGCAUUUUGACGUUACCUACAGAAGAAGCACCGGCUAACUCUGUGCCAGCCGCCGCCGUAACAC